rnacentral:rRNA from 1 species
AUUGAACGCUGGCGGCAUGCUUUACACAUGCAAGUCGAACGGCAGCGCGGGCUUUUGCCUGGCGGCGAGUGGCGGACGGGUGAGUAAUGCAUCGGAACGUGCCCAGUAGUGGGGGAUAGCCCGCCGAAAGGCGCAUUAAUACCGCAUACGACCUGAGGGGGAAAGCGGGGGACCGUAAGGCCUCACGCUAUUGGAGCGGCCGAUGUCGGAUUAGCUAGUUGGUGGGGUAAAGGCUUACCAAGGCGACGAUCCGUAGCUGGUCUGAGAGGACGACCAGCCACACUGGAACUGAGACACGGCCCAGACUCCUACGGGAGGCAGCAGUGGGGAAUUUUGGACAAUGGGCGAAAGCCUGAUCCAGCCAUGCCGCGUGCGGGAAGAAGGUCUUCGGAUUGUAAACCGCUUUUGUUCGGGAAGAACUCCUCUGAGCUAAUACCUCGGCGGGAUGACGGUACCGAAAGAAUAAGCACCGGCUAACUACGUG